rnacentral:rRNA from 1 species
UACCAGCACCCCGAGUGGUCGGGACGAUUAUUGGGCCUAAAGCAUCCGUAGCCGGUUUUACAAGUCCUCCGUUAAAUCCAGCUGCUUAACACGAUGGGCUGGCGGAGGAUACUAUAAGACUAGGAGGCAGGAGAGGCAAGCGGGUACGUCAGUGGGUAGGGGUAAAAAUCCGGUUGAAUCCAUUGAAGACCACCAGUGGCGAAGGCGGCGUU